rnacentral:lncRNA from 1 species
UUGUUCAUAUUGCGCGGCAGCUCAUUCAUAAGAUUGCGUUGUUCAGUGAUGAACGCUAUAAGUUCACCCUUGGACACACAAUCAUUGAAACCCGUUGGAGAUCCUGCCAUGGUUGGAAAAUAGGGAAAAAUAACAACAACGUACUAUCCCUAUCAACUAAAAGGAAUCAAGUGGUGGUGGUGAAAGUGGAAUACAAAAUCAGAAGCGGCUUACCACUGUCUUACAACUGUUCUUACCAAAGCCAAACAGGAGCAAAACUAAAUUAGGAAAACAAUAUGUUGUUGAGCGUGGGUAAUAGUUGCAAGAUGAACCUAUGCUGAUAUAAGUAUACAUAGAGCUUUAGAAACGCACGUUAUGAACAACAAGGAUUAGCAAUUAAUGAAUACAGAGUUAGCUAAGUUCAAUAAGUGUCCAGAGGACAAAUCAUA